rnacentral:rRNA from 1 species
AAACGAUGCCGAUGUCGUGGUGCCGAAUAAUGGCGACGCGAAAGAGAAAUCGAGUAGGGCCCUGGGGAGAGUACACGCGCAAGCGAGAAAUUUAAAGGAAAUUGACGGAAGAACACCACAAGGAGUGGAGUGUGCGGCUUAAUUUGACUCAACGCGGGACAACUUACCGGGCCCGACGACCGUAAGAGUGUGACACACGAUAGGUCGAAGAGUGGUGCAUGGCCGUUAACGACGAGUGGAGUGAUCUUUGGGUUAAGUCCGUAAAUUAGUGAGA